AUAAAGCUACCUCUAGGAGAAAGCAAAACAGAGAAGAAAUUCUAUAUUGAAAAUAAAAAUAUGAAGCUGAGAAAAUUAGAGCAAUAGAGCCAAUGCCACAGGGCAGUUAAGCUUGUCCUGCUUUUGAAGCAAGUUAUGUUUGCUAGUAGCAGAUAUACAGACACAAACAUCUUCCUUACAGACUUUUACUCAGUAAUUUGAGGUUUUACCUUGUUUCAAGUUUAUCUUGUGCCAGGGUUAGCCUUAUCCCAUAGACACUGAGAGGAAGGCACUGUUCCCCAGAGUCAUGUUUGCUGCCAAGUGCCUUGCCUGCCUGACAGGAGUUCUUGUUUGUGUGUCUGCUGCUGCCUUCCUAUCAAGCCUUUUAGGUGUUCCUCUCCAAGUCACAUCUCCAGAUAUCACAGCAGCUGGAAGAGGGUGGCUAAUGUCAUCUGGGGGAAAAUAGGUACAUACUCAUAAAACUAGCUUGUGACAUCUGCUGUAACCUCGUAGGGCUAGGGAAGUAAAUCUCAAGUCACUUGGGAGGGGGUUUUACCCAACAAACUGGAUCAGUGAAGAUUAGGAACUUGAGUAAUGGUCUAAUGAAUGAAGCCAGGAUAUGAGCUAGGAAAUAUGAGAUCUUUUUCUGGGUCUGCCACUAGUGAAAACAACUUAUUUUCACUCACCUUUCUCUCCUCGCUUUGCCCAGGCUCUUCAUGGAUUAAUGGAUAGGGUCUACGCAUUAGUAGAGUUGUGGUCUGAAUUCAGCUGUGGCUCAUAGGCACUCAACUUACUGCAUAUUAAUUCUUCUGUGAAAGCAGGGGAAGAUCUGUAUUACCAAAAAGAGUGAAGAUUCUCUUGCAUUUGCUAUAGUUUGAAGAGCAUUAUACUGUGAUUAAAAGCUGUUAGAUACAUUGGACUGAAUAAGAAAACUGAAGACUAGAAAAGUAAAAGAUGACAUGGUCAUCUUUCAAUAUAGGCAUACAAUGGAAAUCACCUGAAGUAUUCCAGAACGUUGUUCUUAAGAUCCCAUGCCUGUAGCAAUGCAAUGACUUGAUGUCAAUCAUUAACACCCUAACAUGAGCUAAGAAAAUUAAAAUAAAUUAUUGACAGAAAAUAUCACAUUUAAAAAAAAUUUAUAAAAAAAUCCAAGUGAUGUGCUAAAUCGAUUUUUUGCCCAAAUCACCCCCCACCCCCAUCUUGUUUCUUUAUCUGUUUCCAGCUGACAAGCAGCACUCAUUCACCUAACCCAGAAGGUGAGGGAUUUGGUCCUUGUAUAUAUCCAAUGUGUUCAGGGGAUAAAAUGACUACGAAUAGUGCAUAAGAUAAAUGGACAUGUCACAUCUUAGUAUAAUAAAAGCCAUGAAAUUAUAUCAAUUAACCACAGAUUCUUCCAGUAAAUACAGAGCUUUCAGAAAAAGCAACUGCCUACACACAGUCGGGAAUGCGCUGGGAUAGGCAGCCUCUGGUGUGCACGCUUAGGCCAGUCUGAACUGUGAUAAGUCUGUGACUCUCCGAAGAAUGCUAUUUAAGAAGAAAAUGUAAGCUAGCUUGGAGUAAUGUGUAUAUCAGGUAUGUCUGAUGAUCAGAGGUGUCCAUGAAUGGACUGAUUAUUUUUCAGAAAUUUUCACUCCUCUUUCAUUCUUUGCUGAGUAAGUCUACUUUACUUUGGGAAAAUUGUGGGUUAUUACUUUGCUGGAGGGAAAGAAACCAAACAGCAGAAAGAUAAUGACUAAUAUUGAUGGGUCAUGCCCUCGUAUGCUCAUCUGAAACAUGAGGAAUUGCAAGACAUUGUCGCAAACACGGAAAAUCAAGAGGCCGCAGACCUUCUGCAGAUCUUGCUUUGCUGUUAAAAAAAUAAUAUUACAAGGAAAAGUUUUUUACUUUUCUCCACAAUAAAUUUCAUGAUUGUGAAAUUUUAUUCCAUUAUUGGGAAGGAAGGAAAUUUCACAUUAUUGGAAAUCCCAUGUAAUAAAAAUUCCAACAUUAACCUUCUCUAUUAUUCAAAUAGCAGAAGAAGUAGUCCUGAUCCCACUAAAUUUGCAGUCCAAGAGGGAGACAGGAAAAAACCUCACAUUAUUAUUAAUAAUUUAUUGCUCUUGGAAAUUUUGUCCCAAGGUGUGCAGUGAGUGGGAACCCAGGUUUUCCCUCUCUGUGCAUUUCUUUCCUGUUUUACCAUGCCUGCCAAAUCCUAGGCAAUGCUAUUAUUGUAACUAGCAACACACAAGGAAGGCAAGUUCAUCGCAUUCACUUACGUCAAUCUCUCUAAAGGAAAAAAGAGGGGGAAAAAAAGAAGGAAAUUUAAACACAAAUCUGCAAAAUAUGCUCUGGGAAGCAACUGAUUGAAUGUUGUUUACUAAAGUUCAGAAAGGACAAAAAAUUAGAAUUGAAACCAAAAGUGAAUUCAAUUCAUCACAUAAGGCAAAUGACCCAAUGUGAUGAAAUGAUAACUGUCAUCUUUUAGCUGCCUUCUUGCACGUAAAUAUAAGAGCCAUGCACGUGAUGAUCUGCAUCACUGCUCUGAAGAUGCUGAUUGAUUACGGAACCGACAAGAUCUUCCUAGGACUUUGACAUGUUCAAAGCGUUUCUCCCCUAUCUGUGAAUAAAUCAGAGCAAAAUUUUCAGUGGAAGGCGGGUAUGUCUUUCCCAAGUCCCUUUUGCACUGCUCUCUGCAUGCAGGUGAUUUGUAGUCCUCUCAGCAGCUUGACUGAAACAUGAGAGAAUUCCAAAUACAGGCUAAGACAUGUUUGCUGUGUGGAUAUUUUCAGUAAUGAGCUAUUUCUUUCCAUGCAGUUUAAAGGGCUUAAAUUCUUAGAAGAAAAAGACCUUAAAAUAGAAUAACUCAAAGGUCACAAUACUUAAUGGGAAAAUUAUGUUUCUAACAUGUUUGGAAGCCUUAAUGUGUUUAAUUUACUACAUUGUUUAACUUCUUUUCAGUCUUGCCCUCUAGUAACAGCUUAUCACUGGAAACACUCCCUGAUCAUAAAAAAGUUACAGGAGACACAAAUAUCAUGUCUGCACCCACCAUUAAGAAGUGCAAUAUUAAUGGAAUGGUUAAUAUCCAGAAAUGAAUGACAAAUAAAACUUGUGCCAUCCUGAAGCCUGAUAUUCCAAGAAAGAUGGACCCGUUGCACAAGGAGUCACUGUAAUUUUAAAAGAAGCAGCAAUGACUGUCUGGGUGGAAGGAGGGGAGGAGAAGAAAAAAAAUGCUUACUACCUUCAGCCCUGAAGAUUGUUAAGCGCAAGCAUUUUAUAUGGCACAUGAUAAUGUAAUAGACAUGGCUUAAUUGGGUAUUGAAAAAGCAGUAAACAAGUGAACAAAACAAAGUUGUUAAUGGAUCUGAAAACUGAUGCACAAAAGGGUACACUUGCUAUUCUUUUCUAGACAGAAUCCUAAAUACAUAAUAACAUUUUACACUGGUAAUACACCAAGCUUCUUUACAAGAAUUAACGAAAAUCUCAUUUAAGCUGCAUACACAGAGAGAAGCUGAGACACAUGCUUGUUGAGGUAAGAAGUCAUUUGCCUAAGGUCAUGCUGGGAGCCAGUGCAAAAAGGCACAACAAAUACAGGUCUGUGAAUUCCCUUUUCUAACCACUAUACCCUUCUUACUUGGCAGAACAGUAUAUAGUGACUUGGAAAUGUUCCCAAAGCCAGCUUUAAACCAAUACCUUUUGGCAGUGGCCACAGCUCUUUCUGGUUUACUUUCCACCCUCAUAAUCUUACCUGAAGAACUUCUUACUACUUCAUUUUUAAAUAAUCACAGUUCCUCAUCAUCUUCUCCCUUUCCUCAAUUUAGCUUAUACCUUCUCAUACUGGUGUUUUGAUUAUAAGAUCUCCUUGCUCAGUUUCCAUCCUGUCUAUUAGAUCAAAAGCCCUUAUGCCUUUAUAUAUAACAUUUCUCUGGUUCAUAUUCUACAUUUCCUAACACUGAUUAUAUCUAUCAUACAUCAUAUCUAAAAUACUGAUUUUUAUCUAUCUUCCUCACAGAAUUAUUUUCCUCAGGACGUCUUCAUCUUCCUUCUUCUUCUCUUGAAAAUACGACUUUAAUCAUUUGAACAAGGAGAGACAAAAAAAUAUUUUUGACAGUGGUACCUGAAGACACUUGCAACAAAAAUACAACAUUCAAACACUCUGUGGAAAUGAAACCCCUAUUAAUGGAUGGAGAUGAAACGACAAUGAUCCUUGGAGCAACCAGUAUACAGAAGCCCUCGUGCAUGGUUUCCAUCAGUAGUGCCAUAUGCUUUACAUUGUUCUCAGUUGUUUAAGUAUAUGAUGUUGUCACUUAUUGUACUUGCUUUCAUCCCUGCAGGUAUUUAGAUCUUAUAGGCAUAUAAGCAAAAAAAAAAAAAAAUCUAAAUUUCCAUUUGACAUACCUUUGCAAAGACUUCAUAACUGUGUGUAAGGAAAUCUCUCUUAAAAGGAAAAAUUUUGUGUGUGCUGGCCUUAAGUCCCUCCCAUCCUCUGAGCAAGAGAUAUAUCUGAAUGUUAGCUUUAAGAAAUCUUAAGAAAUUCUUUUUGUUCAGAAGCUUGUAUCUGAAUAUAGAGCAGAAAAACAGGGAGGGAUCCAAACUGUAAAGUUAAAAGCUUUCUACCUUUUACUAAAAAAAGAAAAAGAAGUAAUUUCCUAUAAAUAUACGUGUUUAUAAAACCAGUGGCAAAAACCUCAGAUGUGAAUUUAUCUUUGUUGUUGUUAAAAGGGUGUUUUGUCAGACCUAAUCUGUUGGGAAAACUCAAAGACUAAGACUAGGAAUUAUCCAAAACUUCUUUCAAGCAUUGCAGCCCUGAAUCUAGUAUUUGGCUUUGCAGAGCAUCAUAAUAGUACACCUGCUGUAAGUCAUAUAACUUGUAUACAAAUGUACAUCAACCUCCGAAAUGUUAAAUGUCAAAUAGCUGUGUAGUAUCACAGAUAACAUGUCCCCUGACAGGGACACACCACCAAGUGUGGAUAGCUAAAUUCAUGUGACCUUCCCCUGGAAGAAAAAUACUCAAUAUGCCAAAUUAGAACUGCGUGGUCCUUUAGGGACCUAUUCAGCCAUAAAUACAAAAAAGUAUCUAAGAGCAGCAUUCUUUGCAAGACCUUUUCACAGAGAGAUCAUACUACAACUCAUUAGAAACCUUUCUCUGAAAUUAAGCUUGAAAAAUAUUAAAUAAGCAGUAAAACCACAGUAGUUCUGUCUUUUUAAAAACCAAUGUCAGACCAUAUUACCGAAGGGCAGAGUUUAUAAGGGCCUCCCUAAUACAGAAAGCCAGGUGAAUUUUGUUUGUAAAAGAAAUGUCAAAAAAAAGUCAAAACUGACAAGCACAAAACUGACUCACUGUGACCUAGAGGAAAACGUGAGAUUCAUCAUCUGGUGGUGAUGCACAGGCUUUCUAAGGAAAUUCAUUUAUUUAUUUGCAAAUGAAAAAAGGCUUUUAAGUUGACAGACUGGGUGCCUUUGCAGUUUCUAGACCCUAAGCUAAUCCUCUCAUGAGAAGGAAGAGAGGAAUUAGCAUCAAAGCAACUUUCCUGCAAUAGGCAGGGCUUUUCCUUCACAGAUUUUGAUUUAUUACAACACACUGUAAUGCAGGGCUUUUUAGUAGGACUAAAAGAUUUUUCCAACUUGGCAAAUAAAAGUUGAACCCUA